CCUACGGGAGGCAGCAGUGGGGAAUAUUGGGCAAUGGACGCAAGUCUGACCCAGCAACGCCGCGUGAAGGAAGAAGGCUUUCGGGUUGUAAACUUCUUUUAUGGGGGAAGAGCAGAAGACGGUACCCCUUGAAUAAGCCACGGCUAACUACGUGCCAGCAGCCGCGGUUAUACGUAGGUGGCAAGCGUUGGCCGGUGUUACUGGGUGUAAAGGGCGUGCAGCCGGAGAGUCAAGACAGAUGUGAAAUCCACGGACUAAACACGUGAACUGUAUUUGAAACUGUUUCCCUUGAGUGUCGGAGGGGUAAUCGGAAUUCCUAGUGUAGCGGUGAAAUGCGUAGAUAUAAGGAAGAACACCAGUGGCGAAGGCGGAUUACUGGACGAUAACUGACGGUGAGGCGCGAAAGCGUGGGGAGCAAACAGGAUUAGAUACCCCUGUAGUC
rnacentral:rRNA from 1 species